GCACCCUGACGCAGCAACGCCGCGUGAGUGAGGAAGGUUUUCGGACCGUAAAGCUCUGUCGAGCGGGAAGAAAUGCAUAGUGGCUAAUAUCCAUUAUGCUUGACGGUACCGCUAAAGGAAGCACCGGCUAACUCCGUGCCAGCAGCCGCGGU
rnacentral:rRNA from 1 species